AGAGAACUAGUUAAACAAUAACAUUGGCCUGUCAGACCAAAAUCGCUAGAUAACACCCAGCGUUCUCUA
rnacentral:tRNA from 1 species